CUUCGGUGUGAGGAAAGUCCGGGCUUCACAGAGCAGGAUAACGGCUAACGGCCGCCGAGGGUGACCUUAGGGAAAGUGCAACAGAAAGAAACCGCCCAGAUCUUGGGUAAGGAUGGAAAGGCGAGGUAAGAGCUCACCGGCGCACAGGAGACUGUGCGGCCCUGUAAACCCUAUCCGAAGCAACACCGAUAUGGAGUGGUCUGCUCGGCCAUAACUCCGACGGGUGGCGCGAACCGCAGGGCAACCUGCGGUCAAGACAGAUGAUUGCCUUCAAUGACAAAACCCGGCUUAUAGACUCACUCGU
rnacentral:RNase_P_RNA from 1 species